rnacentral:rRNA from 1 species
UUGAAUUGAAGAGUUUGAUCAUGGCUCAGAUUGAACGCUGGCGGCAGGCUUAACACAUGCAAGUCGAACGGUAGCAGGUAAGUACUUGUACUUAUGCUGACGAGUGGCGGACGGGUGAGUAAUGCUUGGGGAUCUGGCUUAUGGAGGGGGAUAACGACGGGAAACUGUCGCUAAUACCGCGUAGAAUCGAGAGAUGAAAGUGUGGGACCUUCGGGCCACAUGCCAUAGGAUGAACCCAAGUGGGAUUAGGUAGUUGGUGGGGUAAUGGCCUACCAA